GACGAACGCUGGCGGCGUGCCUAACACAUGCAAGUCGAACGGACAGGCCCUGCUUUUGUGGGUUUCUCGUGUGGCGCACGGGUGAGUAACACGUGAGUAACCUCCCCCUGACUUUGUGAUAUCUUCACGAAACUGGGGCUCUUACCGGAUAGGAUCUCUUGCUCCAUAGUGUUCGUUGGAAAGUUUCGGCGGUUGUGGAUGUAGUCGCGGCUUAUCCGCUUGUUGGUGGGGUAGUGGAUGACCAAGGCUGUGAGGGGUAGCCGGCCUGAGAGGGUGACCGGCGACAAUACGACUGAGAUACGGCGCAGACUCGUACGGGAGGCAACAGGGGAGAGUAUUGCACAGUGGGCGGGAGCGAGAUGCAACAACGCCGCGUGCGGGAUAACGGGCUUCGGGUUGUAAACCGAUUUGGACUGUGACGAAGAGUGAGUGACGGUAAUGGGUAAAGAAGCACCGGCUAACUACGUG
rnacentral:rRNA from 1 species